CCUACGGGAGGCAGCAGUGGGGAAUCUUGCGCAAUGGUCUAACGACUGACGCAGCGACGCCGCGUGUGGGAGGACGCCUUUCGGGGUGUAAACCACUGUUGCCCGGGACGAACAGCCCUUUUCGAGGGGUCUGACGGUACCGGGUGAGGAAGCACCGGCUAACUCCGUGCCAGCAGCCGCGGUAAUACGGAGGGUGCGAGCGUUGUCCGGAAUCAUUGGGCGUAAAGGGCGCGUAGGUGGCCGAGUGAGCGUGCGGUGAAAGCUCGGGGCUCAACCCCGAGUCGGCCGUGCGAGCUACUCAGCUCGAGCACUGUAGAGGCAGGCGGAAUUCCGGGUGUAGCGGUGGAAUGCGUAGAGAUCCGGAAGAACACCGGUGGCGAAGGCGGCCUGCUGGGCAGUUGCUGACACUGAGGCGCGACAGCGUGGGGAGCAAACAGGAUUAGAUACCCUGGUAGUCCACGCCGUAAACGAUGGGCACUAGGCGCUUGGGGGAGCGACCCCCCGAGGGCCGGCGCUAACGCAUUAAGUGCCCCGCCUGGGGAGUACGGCCGCAAGGCUGAAACUCAAAGGAAUUGACGGGGGCCCGCACAAGCGGUGGAGCAUGUGGUUUAAUUCGAGGCAACGCGAAGAACCUUACCUGGGCUUGACAUAAUAGUGGUAGGGAACCGAAAGGGGACCGACCUUCGGGAGCUAUUACAAGUGCUGCAUGGCUGUCGUCAGCUCGUGCCGUGAGGUGUUAGGUUAAGUCCUGUAACGAGCGCAACCCUCGCUGCCAGUUACAAGUGUCUGGCGGGACUGCCGGUGACAAACCGGAGGAAGGUGGGGAUGACUUCAAGUAGCUUGGCUUUAUGCCAGGGCUACAUACAUGCUACAUGGCGUGACAGAGGGAUGCCAGCCCCAGUGGAGCUAUCCCACACGCGGUCGAGUUCGAAUUCCCGCUGUUAUUUGCCGCCCCAGCCGGAGUGCAACAAAGAAGUAUCCCACCCGCGGAACAUUUUCAGGGAUGGGGU
rnacentral:rRNA from 1 species